CCUACGGGAGGCAGCAGUGAGGAAUAUUGGUCAAUGGUCGGGAGACUGAACCAGCCAAGCCGCGUGAGGGAUGAAGGUACAGAGUAUCGUAAACCUCUUUUGCCAGGGAACAAAGGCGGGGACGUGUCCCCGGAUGAGUGUACCUGAAGAAAAAGCAUCGGCUAACUCCGUGCCAGCAGCCGCGGUAAUACGGAGGAUGCGAGCGUUAUCCGGAUUUAUUGGGUUUAAAGGGUGCGCAGGCGGUCUGUUAAGUCAGCGGUAAAAGCCCGGGGCUCAACCCCGGCCCGCCGUUGAAACUGGCAGUCUCGAGUUGGAGAGAAGUAUGCGGAAUGCGCGGUGUAGCAGUGAAAUGCAUAGAUAUCGCGCAGAACUCCGAUUGCGAAGGCAGCAUGCCGGCUCCACACUGACGCUGAGGCACGAAAGCGUGGGUAUCGAACAGGAUUAGAUACCCCAGUAGUC
rnacentral:rRNA from 1 species